ensembl:lncRNA
UGUUCUGUGAAUCUGCUGAGAAUACUGGUAGCAACUAGAGAAUCUCUCAAGUCCCAGUAGAACCCUGCUAUUGGCUUUCUGUCACUUAUGGAGGAAGUGAAGGCAUAUACCAGCUCAGGGGUUUCUUCAUGACCCUGUGCCUGGGAGAAAGGAAAAAGCCAUCUAGCCUAGGUCAAUUUCAAGCCCGGCAAGAGCCCUAAACAUCAGAAUACUCUGUUUCAUCAAACUGUUUCAGCCCUUUAAGAAAAAGAUACAUAAGAAUAUAUACAAGUAAUAUGCCCAAGACAGGCACAUUUAUGUAUCUCGAUGGAUCAAUAAGCUUUGGAUGCAGUUAUAUGCUCAUGCUCUCCUCUGUUCUCAUAAUCUCAGAUCAUCUCAGAGUUUAUGUGGCUUUCAGCUCUCUUUCUCUCUCUCUCUCUGGAGUUUAAAAAUCAAUGUUAAUUUCAAACAAAUACAAACGAAGCCAUCAAUAACGAGCAGGUGCCAUGAGGUUAGCGGUCAGCAGGGGGAGAUGUGAGCAACCACAUCACAGGGAUUGUUAUUUUGAAGAGCGAGUGCCCUAGACAGCCCAGCCGCUGGGAAAACAGCGUUUUCACUUACUGGUCCACAUUAGCUUCACAGGUUAUCAGUGAGUGUCCCAACUGCCUAAGUAACAUCACCUGUUCCUCUCUCCAGCCCUCCACUUCUUUAAAGGCUCCACGAGGACCCAGGGCCACGCCUUUUAAAGGCACAUGGAUUUAAAAAAAGGAAGAAGCAGAGCCUGUCCUGGGCUUCAGGCAGGCUAGGCCCAGGGCAAUGCUGGCGGCCUAGGGCAAUGCUGGAGGCCCUCUCAGUGGGGGUGAAAUGACAGCUCCUGCAGGGGUGGGGGCGUAUUUGGUGGAAGCAUGCAGCAACAGUGGUGUCAAGGCAAGUGAAAAGGCUGCAGCGGUUGCAUUUGGACAGACAGCUCGGACCUGAAGCAAUGUGCGUGGAAGCAUGGGCCUCGAAGAAGGCAGGCCUUUUGGAGUCAACGCUGGGGCCCACUGGUGAACACAGGCUGGAGAGGGGCAGAGACGUGGCUGAGACGCUCAGGAUGAUCUGGGCAAGUUGGCAGCACCAAAGCUGAGGCCCCCCUUUCCUUGAGCCUGGGUUUGGUUAAAAGGAAAGGAGCACCUCAGCACUACCUCAGCUGCCUAAGGAAACUCACCACGGGCCUCCGCAGUCCCGUGUCCACGGUACAGGCCACCAUGGACCUCUGAGUCUCACGUCUCUUCCAGCAACCAAAGAGCAAGUCAAAUCACCUUCCCUUUCUCCCAGUUCUUUCUUCCCUCUGAAAGGAAAAGAAAGUAACUCUCCUCUUUCCUUAAAGGCUGGCAUCAUAUCAUGAUUUUCAAAAUAACAAGUGGCUUCUCUCUGGUUCUAGUACAUAGAGGAAGCCCCCACUGGCUUCUGAGGAUGUUCUUCUGUGGCAGGAAGAUUUCUGAGGAUUCAGGGAGACUGCCCUAGCAAUACUGAAAGGACAUUCCUAAAGCUAAAAGGCUCUGGGAGCAUUUCCAGAAAGCUUCGAUUUGGGGCUGGAAUUCCAACCUGCUUAGCUCAGUAGGUGGUUUGGCUCUUUGUAGAAAUUUGUGAACCUCCAGCAUGGCACUGUACAAAUAAUUUGAAUCCUUUGACAUGUGCUACAGUUUAGAAUUCAGACUUGGUUCACUGAGUAUGUUUGGGAAGGGAAGAACUUUUUGCACAUGGAAAAAUGAAUGAGAAAUUUUAAAAGGCUUUGCUUUAUGUGAGGCAGCUAAGAAAUUGAAAACUCCUCCCACCAAAAAAAAAAAAAAAA